CCUACGGGCGGCUGCAGUGGGGAAUUUUGGACAAUGGGGGCAACCCUGAUCCAGCCAUGCCGCGUGAGUGAAGAAGGCCUUCGGGUUGUAAAGCUCUUUCGGCCGGGAAGAAAUCGCUCAAGCUAAUACCUUGGGUGGAUGACGGUACCGGAAGAAGAAGCACCGGCUAACUACGUGCCAGCAGCCGCGGUAAUACGUAGGGUAUUACUGUGAAUCGGAAUUACGGGGGCGGCAGCGUGCGCAGGAUGUGAAAUCCCCGGGCUUAACCUGGGAACUGCGUUUGUGACUGUGGUGCUCGAGUGCGGCAGAGGGGGGUGGAAUUCCACGUGUAGCAGUGAAAUGCGUAGAGAUGUGGAGGAACACCGAUGGCGAAGGCAGCCCCCUGGGUCGACACUGACGCUCAUGCACGAAAGCGUGGGGAGCAAACAGGAUUAGAUACCCGUGUAGUC
rnacentral:rRNA from 1 species